GUAGUAUCCUGAAAAGAAUCACGUUUUUCCCCAAGCAUAUCUGUGUGGGAGCUUUAAACAAAAGUAAAAGCCUCAUUGCAAUCCCUCCCUCCAGCCACUCUAUUCGCUCCAUGGAACCUGCGUUGUGUGUGUCCUGAUUGAUGGUAUUUCUCCUUCUUUCCUUGGGAGACAUGAGUCCUUUCUGCUGCCAGUAGAGCUCCCAGUACAUUUGUUGGUUGUGUGAGCUUUCUGUUUAGAAAACAAACAAGUGCUGUAAAGUGUGCUAAAAUGGUCUUCCUUACUCCAUUGGCUUGAGCCACCCAACACUCUGCCAAAUUGCAGCUUAAACAUGAAAACAGAAGGCUUCAGUCCAGCAAUUCUUUUCUGAUGCUAUCUGAGAAGUAUACCCAAGAGACAGUGAGAAAACACAGGAUAUAAGAUUAAUUGAUGGCAUAUGAUCAUCUCGUCUCAGAAAGUCAAGUGGCUUCCAAAUGGAGAGAAUCCUUGAAAGGACACUGGAGGCAGUGUCUGAGUAGUUGUAUAGUUCAGGCUUGACAGAACUGCUUGCUGAAUUUAAUGCGUCCAUUGUGUCCACGUCAACAAUAAGGAAUCGGAGACGUUGUGCAUUUCCACAGUGGUUCAUCUGUUUUGGCUGAAACUCAGUUAAACAAUGGUUAACUCAAACUCUUUAUCUGAUUUACUUCUCAAUCAUUUUUUCCCGGACUUAGCUAGCUAUUUUAGCUGUAACUGGAGAAUUAGUUGUCUAAGCUGACUGAACCCAUUAAAGAGUAGGACUUUUUAACACUUAAAUUAAUUUAUUUGUUGUUGGUUCCUCUUUAUGUUUUAAUUUUAUUUUUAAUAAAAAUUGUACAUAUUUAGACAUUGAUAAUGACAUGUUCAGAGUGUUUUAAAAGAAGUUUCGAUGAAUUCUAAUUAUUUUGGAUAAUAACGAAUAUCAAUUUGUAGAAAUUACUUAAAAAUAUAUUUUCUAGCUCUGAUGAUGUGUCAAGAAUAUUUUGAAAGAGAAGUUUUUGAUAAAUUCUAAUUAUUUUGUAUCUAAUAAAUGAAUAUUUUUUGUGGAAAUGGUUUAAAAGUAUACAUUCAGUUCUCUGUGGCUACAAUACACUUGAUUUACAAACAAGAGAGUACUCAUAUGUUAAUAUUCACAUAUAAUGUAUGAAAGUUUAUGUGAAUUAUUGAAAUAUGAUACGUCUUUAAAUGAAUGUACUGUGCUCUCAAACUGGAACAAAGUAUUUGCAAAUGGAAUUAGUAUAAAAUGAUGAAAUUUUUUUGUAGACUAGUCAAGAAAUAAAUAUCAACAUCUUACAUUGUAAAAAUUUGAUCUAAAUAUUAUAAAUUUCAUCUAAAUACUUCAUAUUUGCUUCACAGGAAAUCUCUUUUGGAUUGGUUUCACACAUCAAUUCUAAAAUUUUAUACCUCUUCAAAUGUAACCUUUUUAAGGGAAAACAAUCAUUAAUAGGAGCAAAGAGAGCUUUAUGAAUAAAUGCUAAAAGAAGGUAGCUUCAAAAAUAAAGUAGCAUUUUAAAGACCAUA
rnacentral:lncRNA from 1 species